rnacentral:rRNA from 1 species
AGAGUUUGAUCCUGGCUCAGAACGAACGCUGGCGGCGUGCCUAACACAUGCAAGUCGAGCGAGAAAGCCCGCAAGGGUGAGUACAGCGGCGCACGGGUGCGUAACACGUGGGUAAUCUGCCCUGAAGCCCGGAAUAACCUCCCGAAAGGGAAGCUAAUACCGGAUAAGACCACGGGAGCCUCGGCUCCUGCGGGAAAAGGUGGCCUCUGCAUGCAAGCUAUCAUUUCAGGAUGAGCCCGCGGCCCAUCAGCUCGUUGGCGGGGUAAUGGCCCACCAAGGCUACGACGGGUAGCUGGUCUGAGAGGACGAUCAGCCACACUGGAACUGAGACACGGUCCAGACUCCUACGGGAGGCAGCAGUGGGGAAUCUUGCGCAAUGGGCGAAAGCCUGACGCAGCAACGCCGCGUGUGUGAUGAAGGUCUUCGGAUCGUAAAGCACUGUCGGGAGGGACGAAUAAGGGCCAGGUGAACAAUCUGGCCUGAUGACGGUACCUCCAAAGGAAGCACCGGCUAACUCCGUGCCAGCAGCCGCGGUAAUACAGAGGGUGCAAGCGUUGUUCGGAAUUAUUGGGCGUAAAGCGCGUGUAGGCGGUCUCGCAAGUCGGAUGUGAAAGCCCUCGGCUUAACCGAGGAAGUGCGUUCGAUACUACGAGACUUGAGUGCCGGAGGGGGUGGCGGAAUUCCCGGUGUAGAGGUGAAAUUCGUAGAUAUCGGGAGGAACACCAGUGGCGAAGGCGGCCACCUGGACGGUAACUGACGCUGAGACGCGAAAGCGUGGGGAGCAAACAGGAUUAGAUACC